rnacentral:rRNA from 1 species
GACAGGGAUGGGCAUGCGGCGCAUUAGGCAGUAGGCGGGGUAACGGCCCACCUAACCGACGAUGCGUAGGGGUUCUGAGAGGAAGGUCCCCCACACUGGUACUGAGACACGGACCAGACUCCUACGGGAGGCAGCAGUGAGGAAUAUUGGUCAAUGGUCGGGAGACUGAACCAGCCAAGCCGCGUGAGGGAUGAAGGUACAGAGUAUCGUAAACCUCUUUUGUCAGGGAACAAAGGCGGGGACGUGUCCCCGGAUGAGUGUACCUGAAGAAAAAGCAUCGGCUAACUCCGUGCCAGCAGCCGCGGUAAUACGGAGGAUGCGAGCGUUAUCCGGAUUUAUUGGGUUUAAAGGGUGCGCAGGCGGUCUGUUAAGUCAGCGGUCAAAGCCCGGGGCUCAACCCCGGCCCGCCGUUGAAACUGGCAGUCUCGAGUUGGAGAGAAGUAUGCGGAAUGCGCGGUGUAGCGGUGAAAUGCAUAGAUAUCGCGCAGAACUCCGAUUGCGAAGGCAGCAUGCCGGCUCCACACUGACGCUGAGGCACGAAAGCGUGGGUAUCGAACAGGAUUAGAUACCCUGGUAGUCCACGCAGUAAACGAU